rnacentral:rRNA from 1 species
CCUACGGGAGGCAGCCGUGAGGACUAUUGGUCAAUGGGCGCGAGCCUGAACCAGCCAAGUCGCGUGAGGGAUGAAGGUUCUAUGGAUCGUAAACCUCUUUUAUAAGGGAAUAAAGUGUGGGACGUGUCCUAUUUUGUAUGUACCUUAUGAAUAAGGAUCGGCUAACUCCGUGCCAGCAGCCGCGGUAAUACGGAGGAUCCGAGCGUUAUCCGGAUUUAUUGGGUUUAAAGGGUGCGUAGGUGGCCUUUUAAGUCAGCGGGGAAAGUCUGUGGCUAAACCAUAGAAUUGCCGUUGAAACUGGGGGGCUUGAGUAGGUUUGAGGCAGGCGGAAUGCGUGGUGUAGCGGUGAAAUGCUUAGAUAUCACGCAGAACCCCGAUUGCGAAGGCAGCCUGCCAAGCCAUGACUGAUGCUGAUGCACGAAAGCGUGGGGAUCAAACAGGAUUAGAUACCCUUGUAGUC